GGGAGUGUGGCGGAAUUGGUAGACGCACCAGAUUUAGGUUCUGGCGCUGCAAAGCGUGAGAGUUCAAGUCUCUCGACUCCCA
rnacentral:tRNA from 1 species